UGGGCCCCAGGAAAGGCAGAAGCUCUAAGCUGUGCCCAACUGGGCAGAGGGAUCCUCCUCCUAUCGUCACUGAUUUUAGAACACGUUGAAAACGCUGGCUGAAGCACACACCAUUAUCCUGUUAGUGAUUCUCCUGCAAAGAAAUACUUUGAAUUCUACUUUAACUAUUUGGAGGACACCUGCGCACUCACAACUAAUAAAUCUGUCAAGCCACGCUUGGAAAUAUCCCAUCUCCGCUUGGAACUGCUGCAUGUAUACAGUGACUGAAAGGACUCAAUUUACUGCAACUGCUGCUUGGUUUUACUUACAACUUUCUUUAAAGAGGGACUUACCUUCUAUCAGUCAUGCUAAGGUAGGAAGUCUGAUUCUUCUAAAGACGUGUAAUACCUCCAGUGUUUGCUCAUUAUCAGAUCCCACUCUAAUGAUGCAUAUUGUUGUCAGAAUUAGGUCCUAAUGUAAUUGUGCCAGGUGCCUGAUGGUUUUGUUACUUGCGUGUAAAGGUGCAACUGUUGAAGCCGCUGUUUUACUGUUUAUUUACUCAGUGCUGUUCUAUCCCCCUCCUCCUCCUCCCCCCCCUCCCCAAUUCUCCACUCCCUCCCUCCCAUGCCCUUUUCUUUUUUGUAAUGGCAGGUAAGAUCUUAGCACGGCAGCUUUGUAAUUCGCAAAAUCUAAUCUUCAGUCAAGUUUGUAUUUGCUUUUAAAGAAUCUCUUCUGUCUAUGUAAGGUAAUGCAGUGCUCUCUGCCACCACCCCCCAAAGGAUACAUCGAGAGAGCUUUCUGGUCUGAAACAUUAUUAAAACGCUAUCUUUGAAGCACAACAAACUGUUGAAAGGUUUUAAAAACCAGAAAGGUCACUUUUUUUUUACUCUGCGGUGUCGUAAACAAGAAAACUCCAGAUGCCCUCUGCAAGUGGGCCUGUCAUGAAUUCAGACCCCAAGGUAAACAUACAGUUAAAAGGAUUGCCACCAGAAGUGGUGAAAUGGAACCCUCAUAGAUCUCUGCUAGUAUCUGUUGUUUAGGAAGGUUGAAGAGGUGGUGCUUGCUCUGCAAACAAAGUGUAACUCGGAAAUCACUAUUUGGAUAUGAUUCUUUAAAAAACGAAUCCUUAAGAGAAGGAAAAGUCAGGCACUACUUCCUUAGUCCCAUUCUAACUUUGACCGUACCUCACAUGAAACAUUGAGCUAACACCUCUGACAGCACACACUGCUUUUAUGAGAGCAGACAGUAAACCUCACAGUUGCCUGUGUGUAUUUCUUUGACCUUUUUAGGGAUGCGAACUAUUAAAACAUCUAUGAAAACAGCUUUAGAUGUCUUAAAUUACAAAUAAUGCAUUUGAAAAGUAAUAUAUUGAAAGAAAAUUGGAAGUAUUCUGACUUCCACUUGUCCCACAGUAAAGUUCGUGUUUGUUGACAUGCACAGCUGGAGUUGAGAAGCAAUGAUUAGAUCUGAAACCACCCUGGUUUUGUAUAGACUUACUAUCUAACACACCCAAGUUAGUUAAGUAAUAUUUCUGUGAAGCUUUAGACAGAGUUUAGUGUGAAAACUUAGGCUCUUUCUCUCGCCUGGCUGAUCAACUAAGGUAUUCCCAAACACAGCCUUUCUAGUUCCUUCAAGAAUACUUCAGGUACCUAUUUUCCAUUUUUACCUUUCUGGAGUAGAAACUUUUGGUUAGCAUGCUUCAGAAAGAUGACUUGCUAACUCUAUCAAGUACUUCAGUGCCCAAAGUGUGCAUCUUUUCUCUUUGCUAUGCAGACUGCUUUUUGAAAAUAAAAAUGCAUUCUGAGUUCAGAGUACACUACAGACUUGGCCUUGUUAUUUAGCAUAAAGAAGACAUCUACACAAGUAUUGCUGUGCAGAGGGCAAUCUUCCUUUCUACGGCGUUUGUUAGGGCACUGUAUAUAGAAUUUAGCAGAUAAAUAUUUUUUGCUUCAUGGCAUUUUGGAGAUCCUAUUGGUAUGCAGGUUACCCUGCAAGGAUGGCAAGUUAAAAAAGAAAUAUGUUUUAUAGCAGUGUGUAAUAAAAGCCCUUCACAAUGA